AUCUUGUUGGAGAUCUCUGUGUAUCUGAGGACCUUACAGGCCUUUCAAAGAAAGUCCACUGAAGAAGAAGCCAGGCAACAAAUGGAAGUAAGGGUCCAUCAAUCAUUCUUGAGCUGGGGACAAUUAUUUAUUACUUUGACAAGAUCUCUCCUGUGCAUUUGCAGGACUGUGUUUUGUAUGGUAGACAAUUAAGUGUAUGCAUUAUACAUGAAAAAUAUAACUACUUUUUGAAAAGCAUGCAGCAAAGGCGAACGUUAGCUGCAGCGUUUUUUAAACAAAAGAGGGAUGAUAAAUGGGGGCGAGGGAGGGAUGUGAAGGAGGGUGCAGCGUAUGGUUGGUGCAGCACCCUGGUGUGAGCUGUAUGUACCUGCACUAACACACUGGGCUCUGGAGCAGGUGGCUGCCUGUAUGCAAGUGAUACAAAUGCAUCCAGAUAUGUAGUUUGCAGUUUAAGCCUUAAAUGUUAUAUUGUAAACAAGUUGCAUGGUGCACAUGGCUUGAAGGAAUUCAGUGCUAGAGGAGCACUGUCCUGUAGCACCACCAUUUUAUUGUCUUCUCCACCCAAAAAUGCUGGCAAAAAAAAAACCAAAAACAAAAAACAAACAAACAAAAAAUCCAAAACAUUUUGAGGAAGCACGAGAUAAAGGAUUGCAAGACAAUCUUCAAGCACAUCAGGCGGCACUGGUAAGCCUGCUAUAAAGUCUGAGGGCCAGCAGAGGAUCCUGGCAGAAAAGGCCAUGCUCAGUGACAAUAAAGUCACUGCAAGAAGCUAAAAGAACCCACCGCUUCUGUUGGGUGUCAAUCCACAAGAUUCCCUUGAUGGAAACCUCAGGAAUGGGUUCUUCAGGCUGUGAAAAUGUAAUGAAAAUAUCAUCUCACUGCUUGGCAGUGCUCAAAAUGAAACUGAAUGCUGGGACUCCUGAGAUUUAAAAAAAAAAAAAAAAAAUUCUCUGUUCCUCCCACCAUUUAAAUCCAAGCUUUGUCUGCAUCUUGAGCACUGCCUACUCACCUAAAAAAGACAGAUCAUAAUUGGAGAAAGUGCAGAACAAAAUGGAAGAUGAUAAUCAAAUUUAUGGAAUGGCUCUGCGUGAGGAUCAGCUAAAUAAGCCAGGACUUUCCUGUGGGGGAGAACCUCUAAACGAACAAAACAAAAACAAUGAAGGAUGUAUGGUGGAUAUCCGCAAAGUCAGGGAUGGCCUGGAGAUGGUGCAAAGGGAUAAGAUGUUUCUUCUCUUCUUGGAAAAAUCUGAGAGCAUGACAUGGCAGCAACCAGCCUCUGAACAGCCAGAAAGGGCUGAGCCUCCAUUCAAAGACUGGUUUAGCUGUGGGCUGCUCCCCCCAGCUAGUAAAUUC
ensembl:lncRNA